rnacentral:misc_RNA from 1 species
CAGAGUUCAUGCCCUUCGGGGUAGAUCUCCCACCCUGUGUAUUUAUACCUUUGUUGCUUUGGCAGGCCGUCAGGCUUCGGCUCGACUACCGGCUUCGGCUGGUAAGCGCCUGCCAGAGGAAAUCAAACUCUGAAUAUCAGUGUCGUCUGAGUAAAUUAUAAUAGUUA